CCUACGGGUGGCAGCAGUGGGGAAUAUUGCACAAUGGGGGAAACCCUGAUGCAGCGACGCCGCGUGAGUGAAGAAGUAUUUCGGUAUGUUAAGCUCUAUCAGCAGGGAAGAAAAUGACGGUACGUGAUUAAGAAGCCCCGGCUAACUACGUGCCAGCAGCCGCGGUAAUACGUAGGGGGCAAGCGUUAUCCGGAUUUACUGGGGGUUAAGGGAGCGUAGACGGCGGCGCAAGUCUGAAGUGAAAUGCCGGGGCUUAACCCCGGAACAGCGUUGGAAACUGUGGAGCUAGAGUGGAGGAGAGGUAAGUGGAAUGCGUGGUGUAGCGGUGAAAUGCGUAGAUAUUAGGAGGAACACCAGUGGCGAAGGCAGCAUACUGGAGUGUAACUGACGUUGAGGCUCGAAAGCGUGGGGAGCGAACAGGAUUAGAUACCCGUGUAGUC
rnacentral:rRNA from 1 species